AACGAACGCUGGCGGCAGGCUUAACACAUGCAAGUCGAACGGAUCCUUCGGGGUUAGUGGCGCACGGGUGAGUAACGCGUGGGAAUGUACCCCUUGGUAAGGAAUAAUAUCUGGAAAUGGAUACUAAUACCUUAUAAUGACUUUGGUCCAAAGAUUUAUCGCCAAGGGAUCAGCCCGCGUCUGAUUAGGUAGUUGGUGAGGUAACGGCUCACCAAGCCGACGAUCAGUAGCUGGUCUGAGAGGAUGAUCAGCCACACUGGGACUGAGACACGGCCCAGACUCCUACGGGAGGCAGCAGUGAGGAAUAUUGGACAAUGGGGGAAACCCUGAUCCAGCCAUGCCGCGUGAGUGAAGAAGGCCUUAGGGUUGUAAAGCUCUUUCAAUGGUGAAGAUAAUGACGGUAGCCAUAGAAGAAGCCCCGGCUAAAUUCGUGCCAGCCGCCGCUGUAA
rnacentral:rRNA from 1 species